AGACCCCUGGCUGCAGUCAAAAGCCAGGGGUAUUUAGGAGGAUGGCCAGGAGGAUGGAUUAACCAGGAGGAUGGAUUCCGGCUUCAAGCCCAUUCUGAAAUAUUUCACCGCAGGGCCAACAAAAAAAAAACCAAUCUGCUCUACCAAACCUCAAGAAACUCAACAUGAGAAAUGGCUGACCUGACCAUCUAUCCAGGGAGACUGCAAAGUCUCUUCAUCUCCCAAUCACUCUCUCCCUAUGAGUCCCUCCAACUGCAAGCAAAAUUGUGAUCAGUAUGUAAUAGCAUGGAAAUGUGAGCUACCCAACAGAGAAAGAAG